ACAACGACUCUCGACAACGGAUAUCUCGGCUCUUGCAUCGAUGAAGAACGUAGCGAAAUGCGAUACUUGGUGUGAAUUGCAGAAUCCCGUGAACCAUCGAGUCUUUGAACGCAAGUUGCGCCCGAAGCCAUUAGGCCGAGGGCACGUCUGCCUGGGUGUCACA
rnacentral:rRNA from 1 species